rnacentral:rRNA from 1 species
GUAGGUGGCAAGCGUUGUCCGGAAUUAUUGGGCGUAAAGCGCGCGCGGGCGGUUCUUUAAGUCUGAUGUGAAAGCCCACGGCUCAACCGUGGAGGGUCAUUGGAAACUGGAGAACUUGAGUACAGAAGAGGAAAGCGGAAUUCCACGUUUAGCGGUGAAAUGCGUAGAGAUGUGGAGGAACACCAGUGGCGAAGGCGGCUUUCUGGUCUGUAACUGACGCUGAGGCGCGAAAGCGUGGGGAGCAAACAGGAUUAGAUACCCUGGUAGUCCACGCCGUAAACGAUGAGUGCUAAGUGUUAGGGGGUUUCCCGCCCCCCUUAGUGCUGCAGCUAACGCAUUAAGCACUCCGCCUGGGGGAGUACGGCCCGCAAGGCUG